rnacentral:misc_RNA from 1 species
UUUCCGUAGGUGAACCUGCGGAAGGAUCAUUAUUGUAUAACCGAGGUGCGAGGCCUGUCGCUGACCCGAAAGGUCGUUGACGCCCGAGGGCGCUCACACACAUCCAUCUCACCCCUACGUGCACCACCGCGGGGGUCGCCCUUUGGCUUUUUCGGAGGGGGGCUUACGUUUUCACACAGUCUUUGUAUGGACUGUAGUAUGUAUUUUUUUUUCUUUCGUUCACGCAAUCAAUAAAAAUUUCAACAACGGAUAUCUCGGCCGUCGCAUCGAUAAAAAACG